AUUGAACGCUGGCGGCAGGCUUAACACAUGCAAGUCGAACGAUGAAGUCUAGCUUGCUAGACGGAUUAGUGGCGAACGGGUGAGUAAUGCUUAGGAAUCUGCCUAUUAGUGGGGGAUAACGUAGGGAAACUUACGCUAAUACCGCAUACGACCUACGGGUGAAAGGGGGCUUUUAGCUCUCGCUAAUAGAUGAGCCUAAGUCGGAUUAGCUGGUUGGUGGGGUAAAGGCCUACCAAGGCGACGAUCUGUAGCUGGUCUGAGAGGAUGAUCAGCCACACUGGGACUGAGACACGGCCCAGACUCCUACGGGAGGCAGCAGUGGGGAAUAUUGGACAAUGGGCGAAAGCCUGAUCCAGCCAUGCCGCGUGUGUGAAGAAGGCCUUUUGGUUGUAAAGCACUUUAAGUGGGGAGGAAAAGCUUAUGGUUAAUACCCAUAAGCCCUGACGUUACCCACAGAAUAAGCACCGGCUAACUCUGUGCCAGCAGCCGCGGUAAUACAGAGGGUGCAAGCGUUAAUCGGAAUUACUGGGCGUAAAGCGCGCGUAGGUGGUUAUUUAAGUCAGAUGUGAAAGCCCCGGGCUUAACCUGGGAACUGCAUCUGAUACUGGAUAACUAGAGUAGGUGAGAGGGGAGUAGAAUUCCAGGUGUAGCGGUGAAAUGCGUAGAGAUCUGGAGGAAUACCGAUGGCGAAGGCAGCUCCCUGGCAUCAUACUGACACUGAGGUGCGAAAGCGUAGGUAGCAAACAGG
rnacentral:rRNA from 1 species